GAUGAACGCUGGCGGCGUGCCUAAUACAUGCAAGUCGAGCGAACGGACGAGAAGCUUGCUUUUCUGAUGUUAGCGGCGGACGGGUGAGUAACACGUGGAUCACCUACCUAUAAUACUGGGAUAACUUCGGGAAACCGGAGCUAAUACCGGAUAAUAUUUUGAACCGCAUGGUUCAAAAGUGAAAGACGGUCUUGCUGUCACUUAUAGAUGGAUCCGCGCUGCAUUAGCUAGUUGGUAAGGUAACGGCUUACCAAGGCAACGAUGCAUAGCCGACCUGAGAGGCUGAUCGGCCACACUGGAACUGAGACACGGUCCAGACUCCUACGGGAGGCAGCAGUAGGGAAUCUUCCGCAAUGGGCGAAAGCCUGACGGAGCAACGCCGCGUGAGUGAUGAAGGUCUUCGGAUCGUAAAACUCUGUUAUUAGGGAAGAACAUAUGUGUAAGUAACUGUGCACAUCUUGACGGUACCUACUCAGAAAGCCACGGCUAACUACGUG
rnacentral:rRNA from 1 species